rnacentral:rRNA from 1 species
GGGCGUAAGGGCUCGCAGGCGGUUUCUUAAGUCUGAUGUGAAAGCCCCCGGCUCAACCGGGGAGGGUCAUUGGAAACUGGGGAACUUGAGUGCAGAAGAGGAGAGUGGAAUUCCACGUGUAGCGGUGAAAUGCGUAGAGAUGUGGAGGAACACCAGUGGCGAAGGCGACUCUCUGGUCUGUAACUGACGCUGAGGAGCGAAAGCGUGGGGAGCGAACAGGAUUAGAUACCCUGGUAGUCCACGCCGUAAACGAUGAGUGCUAAGUGUUAGGGGGUUUCCGCCCCUUAGUGCUGCAGCUAACGCAUUAAGCACUCCGCCUGGGGAGUACGGUCGCAAGACUGAAACUCAAAGGAAUUGACGGGGGCCCGCACAAGCGGUGGAGCAUGUGGUUUAAUUCGAAGCAACGCGAAGAACCUUACCAGGUCUUGACAUCCUCUGACAAUCCUAGAGAUAGGACGUCCCCUUCGGGGGCAGAGUGACAGGUGGUGCAUGGUUGUCGUCAGCUCGUGUCGUGAGAUGUUGGGUUAAGUCCCGCAACGAGCGCAACCCUUGAUCUUAGUUGCCAGCAUUCAGUUGGGCACUCUAAGGUGACUGCCGGUGACAAACCGGAGGAAGGUGGGGAUGACGUCAAAUCAUCAUGCCCCUUAUGACCUGGGCUACACACGUGCUACAAUGGACAGAACCAAGGGCAGCGAAACCGCGAGGUUAAGCCAAUCCCACAAAUCUGUUCU